GAAUUAAUUUCGCAAUGGGCUGUACAGAAGGAAACUUUUGUACGAACUCCUGUCAAACUCGGGGAAGCCGUUGGAAGGGUAAUCCCGAGCCAAGUUCCAACUCAAUGAUUGGUUGGGAAAGGUGUAGAGACUUAAUGGCAGGCACCUAAGCUUUUGAAAAAAAGUAUGGUGAAGAGAAAGUCCAGACCACAAAUCUCG
rnacentral:ncRNA from 1 species